rnacentral:rRNA from 1 species
GAGGAUGGCCAGCCACACUGGGACUGAGACACGGCCCAGACUCCUACGGGAGGCAGCAGUGGGGAAUAUUGGACAAUGGGGGCAACCCUGAUCCAGCAAUGCCGCGUGUGUGAAGAAGGCCUGAGGGUUGUAAAGCACUUUCAGUGGGGAGGAGGAUUGAUUGGUUAAGAGCUGAUUAGUUGGRCGUUACCCACAGAAGAAGCACCGGCUAACUCCGUGCCAGCAGCCGCRGUAAUACGGAGGGUGCAAGCGUUAAUCGGAAUUACUGGGCGUAAAGGGUGCGUAGGUGGUUAGAUAAGUUAGCUGUGAAAUCCCCGGGCUCAACCUGGGCAGGUCAGCUAAGACUGUUUAACUCGAGUAUGGGAGAGGGUAGUGGRAUUUCCGGUGUAGCGGUGAAAUGCGUAGAGAUCGGAAGGAACACCAGUGGCGAAGGCGGCUACCUGGCCUAAUACUGACACUGAGGCACGAAAGCGUGGGGAGCAAACA